UGGGGAAUAUUGCACAAUGGGCGCAAGCCUGAUGCAGCCAUGCCGCGUGUGUGAAGAAGGCCUUCGGGUUGUAAAGCGCUUUCAGCGAGGAGGAAGGGUUCAGUGUUAAUAGCGCUGUUCAUUGACGUUACUCGCAGAAGAAGCACCGGCUAACUCCGUGCCAGCAGCCGCGGUAAUACGGAGGGUGCAAGCGUUAAUCGGAAUUACUGGGCGUAAAGCGCACGCAGGCGGUUUGUUAAGUCAGAUGUGAAAUCCCCGCGCUUAACGUGGGAACUGCAUUUGAAACUGGCAAGCUAGAGUCUUGUAGAGGGGGGUAGAAUUCCCAGGUGUAGCGG
rnacentral:rRNA from 1 species